rnacentral:lncRNA from 1 species
AGCAGUUUUUUAGAAAAUUAUUUAAAAAUACAACCUAUUGAUGAAAAACUCAGAACAAAUACUCAUCUAUACACUAUAUACAAAAAUAUUUUUGUUAUCCUAAUUUUUAAAUCAUAAACCCUAAUCUACAUUAUUUCUAAAAAAAUGAAAACUUUCCAAAAAUAGCAGUUUUUAAGAUAUUUAAAAAUACAGCUUAUUGAUGAAAAACUUAGAAAAAAUACUCAUCUAUGCACAAAUAUUCUUGUUAUCCUAAUUUCUAAAUCACAAACCCUAAUCUACAGCAUUUCUCUAAAAAGUGAAAAGUUUCCAAAAUAGCAGUUUUUUAGAAAAUUAUUUUAAAUACUGUAGAACUGAUGAAAAAUUCUUUAAGUAUAACGAAUCUAUCCACAAAUAUUCUUGUUAUCCUAAUUAUUAAAUCACAAACCCUAAUCUACACUAUUUCUCUAAAAAAUGAAAACUUUUCAAAAAUAGCAACUUUUAAGAAAAUUAUUUAAAAAUACAGCUUAUUGAUGAAAAACAUAGAAAAAAUACUCAUCUAUGCACAAAUAUUCUUGUUAUCCUAAUCUCUAAAUCACAAACCCUAAUCUACAGUAUUUCUCUAAAAAAUGAAAACUUUCCAAAUAUAGCAGCUUUUAAGAAAAUUAUUUAAAAAUACAACCUAUUGAUUGAAAAACUAAGAAACAAUACUCAUCUAUCCAUAAAUAUUUUUGUUGUCCUAAUUUCUAAAUCACAAACCCUAAUUACAGUAUUUCUCUAAAAAAUAAUAUAGCAGCUUUUAAGAAAAUUAUUAAAAAAUACAACCUAUUGAUUAAAAAACUCAGAAAAAUACUCAUCCAUUCACAAAUAUUCUUGUUAUCCUAAUUUAUAAAUCACAAACCCUAAUCUAUAGUAUUUUCCUAAAAAAUGAAAACUUUCCAAAAAUAGCAGUUUUUAAGAAAAUUAUUUAAAAAUACAGCUUAUUGAUGAAAACUUUUAAAAAAAUACUCAUCUAUGCACAAAUAUUCUUGUUAUCCUAAUUUCUAAAUCAAAAACCCUAAUCUACAGUAUUUCUCUAAAAAAUGAAAUCUUUCCAAAAAUAUGAGUUUUUAAGAAAAUUAUUUUAAAUACUGUAGAAUUGAUGAAAAUUUAGUAUACUAAUCUAUGCACAAAUAUUCUUGUUAUACUAAUUUCUAAAUCACAUACCCUAAUCUACAGUAUUUCUCUAAAAAAUGAAAACUUUCCAGAUAUAGCAGCUUUUAAGAAAAUUAUUUAAAAAUACAACCUAUUGAUUGAAAAACUCAGAAACAAUACUCAUCUAUCCACAAAUAUUCUUGUUAUCCUAAUUUCUAAAUCACAAACCCUAAUCUAUAGUAUUUCUCUAAAAAAUGAAAACAUCCAAAAAUAGCAGUUUUUUAGAAAAUUAUUUAAAAAUACAACCUAUUGAUGAAAAACUCAGAACAAAUACUCAUCUAUACACAAAUAUUUUUGUUAUCCUAAUUUUUAAAUUACAAACCCUAAUCUACAUUAUUUCUAAAAAAAUGAAAACUUUCCAAAAAUAGCAGUUUUUAAGAUAUUUAAAAAUACAGCUUAUUGAUGAAAAACUUAGAAAAAAUACUCAUCUAUGCACAAAUAUUCUUGUUAUCCUAAUUUCUAAAUCACAAACCCUAAUCUACAGCAUUUCUCUAAAAAGUGAAAAGUUUCCAAAAUANNNNNNNNNNNNNNNNNNNNNNNNNNNNNNNNNNNNNNNNNNNNNNNNNNNNNNNNNNNNNNNNNNNNNNNNNNNNNNNNNNNNNNNNNNNNNNNNNNNNNNNNNNNNNNNNNNNNNNNNNNNNNNNNNNNNNNNNNNNNNNNNNNNNNNNNNNNNNNNNNNNNNNNNNNNNNNNNNNNNNNNNNNNNNNNNNNNNNNNNNNNNNNNNNNNNNNNNNNNNNNNNNNNNNNNNNNNNNNNNNNNNNNNNNNNNNNNNNNNNNNNNNNNNNNNNNNNNNNNNNNNNNNNNNNNNNNNNNNNNNNNNNNNNNNNNNNNNNNNNNNNNNNNNNNNNNNNNNNNNNNNNNNNNNNNNNNNNNNNNNNNNNNNNNNNNNNNNNAUAGCAGCUUUUAAGAAAAUUAUUUAAAAAUACAACCUAUUGAUUGAAAAACUCAGAAACAAUACUCAUCUAUCCACAAAUAUUCUUGUUAUCCUAAUUUCUAAAUCACAAACCCUAAUCUAUAGUAUUUCUCUAAAAAAUGAAAACAUCCAAAAAUAGCAGUUUUUUAGAAAAUUAUUUAAAAAUACAACCUAUUGAUGAAAAACUCAGAACAAAUACUCAUCUAUACACAAAUAUUUUUGUUAUCCUAAUUUUUAAAUUACAAACCCUAAUCUACAUUAUUUCUAAAAAAAUGAAAACUUUCCAAAAAUAGCAGUUUUUAAGAUAUUUAAAAAUACAGCUUAUUGAUGAAAAACUUAGAAAAAAUACUCAUCUAUGCACAAAUAUUCUUGUUAUCCUAAUUUCUAAAUCACAAACCCUAAUCUACAGCAUUUCUCUAAAAAGUGAAAAGUUUCCAAAAUAGCAGUUUUUUUGAAAAUUAUUUUAAAUACUGUAGAACUGAUGAAAAAUUCUUUAAGUAUAACGAAUCUAUCCACAAAUAUUCUUGUUAUCCUAAUUAUUAAAUCACAAACCCUAAUCUACACUAUUUCUCUAAAAAAUGAAAACUUUUCAAAAAUAGCAACUUUUAAGAAAAUUAUUUAAAAAUACAGCUUAUUGAUGAAAAACAUAGAAAAAAUACUCAUCUAUGCACAAAUAUUCUUGUUAUCCUAAUCUCUAAAUCACAAACCCUAAUCUAUAGUAUUUCUCUAAAAAAUGAAAACUUUCCAAAUAUAGCAGUUUUUAAGAAAAUUAUUUAAAAAUACAACCUAUUGAUUGAAAAACUAAGAAACAAUACUCAUCUAUCGACAAAUAUUCUUGUUAUCCUAAUUUCUAAAUCACAAACCCUAAUUACAGUAUUUCUCUAAAAAAUAAUAUAGAAGCUUUUAAGAAAAUUAUUAAAAAAUACAACCUAUUGAUUAAAAAACUCAGAAAAAUACUCAUCCAUUCACAAAUAUUCUUGUUAUCCUAAUUUCUAAAUCACAAACCCUAAUCUAUAGUAUUUCUCUAAAAAAUGAAAACAUCCAAAAAUAGCAGUUUUUUAGAAAAUUAUUUAAAAAUACAACCUAUUGAUUGAAAAACUCAGAAACAAUACUCAUCUAUCCACAAAUAUUCUUGUUAUCCUAAUUUCUAAAUCACAAACCCUAAUCUAUAGUAUUUCUCUAAAAAAUGAAAACAUCCAAAAAUAGCAGUUUUUUAGAAAAUUAUUUAAAAAUACAACCUAUUGAUUGAAAAACUCAGAAACAAUACUCAUCUAUCCACAAAUAUUCUUGUUAUCCUAAUUUCUAAAUCACAAACCCUAAUCUAUAGUAUUUCUCUAAAAAAUGAAAACAUCCAAAAAUAGCAGUUUUUUAGAAAAUUAUUUAAAAAUACAACCUAUUGAUUGAAAAACUCAGAAACAAUACUCAUCUAUCCACAAAUAUUCUUGUUAUCCUAAUUUCUAAAUCACAAACCCUAAUCUAUAGUAUUUCUCUAAAAAAUGAAAACAUCCAAAAAUAGCAGUUUUUUAGAAAAUUAUUUAAAAAUACAACCUAUUGAUGAAAAACUCAGAACAAAUACUCAUCUAUACACAAAUAUUUUUGUUAUCCUAAUUUUUAAAUUACAAACCCUAAUCUACAUUAUUUCUAAAAAAAUGAAAACUUUCCAAAAAUAGCAGUUUUUAAGAUAUUUAAAAAUACAGCUUAUUGAUGAAAAACUUAGAAAAAAUACUCAUCUAUGCACAAAUAUUCUUGUUAUCCUAAUUUCUAAAUCACAAACCCUAUUCUACAAACCCUAAUCUACAGCAUUUCUCUAAAUCACAAACCCUAUUCUUGAUAUCAUAAAUUUUUAAACCACAAACCCUAAUCUACAGCAUUUCUCUAAAAAUGAAAACUUUUCAAAAAUAGCAACUUUUAAGAAAAUUAUUUAAAAAUACAGCUUAUUGAUGAAAAACUUAGAAAAAAUACUCAUCUAUGCACAAAUAUUCUUGUUAUCCUAAUUUCUAUGAAAACUUUUCAAAAAGAGCAGUUUUUUAGAAAAUUAUUUAAAAAUACAACCUAUUGAUGAAAAACUCAGAAAAAAUACUCAUCUAUCCACAAAUAUUCUUGUUAUCCCAAUUUCUAAAUCACAAACCUUAAUCUACAGUAUAUUUCCAAGGAAUGAAAACUUUUCAAAAAUAGCAACUUUUAAGAAAAUUAUUUUAAAAUACAGCUUAUUGAUGAAAAACUUAGAAUAAAUACUCAUCUAUGCACAAAUAUUCUUGUUAUCCUAAUUUCCAAAUCACAAACCCUAAUCUAGAGUAUUUUUCUAAAAAAUGAAAACUUUUCAAAGAUAGCAGCCUUUGAGAAAAUUAUUUAAAAAUACAACCUAUUGAUGAAAAACUAAGAAAAAAUACUCAUCUAUCCACAAAUAUUCUUGUUAUCAUAAUUUCUAAAUCACAAACCCUAAUCUACAGUAUUUCUAUAAAAAAAUGAAAUCUUUCCAAAUACAGCAGCUUUUAAGAAUACAACCUAUUGAUUGAAAAACUCAGAUAUUCUUGUUAUUUGACAAUACUCAUCUAUCCACAAAUAUUCUUGUUAUCCUAAUUUCCAAAUCACAAACCCUAAUCUAGAGUAUUUCUCUAAAAAAUGAAAACUUUUCAGAAAUAGCAGCUUUUAGGAAAAUUAUUUAAAAAUACAGCUUAUUGAUGAAAAACUUAGAAAAAAUACUCAUCUAUCCACAAAUAUUCUUGUUAUCCUAAUUUCCAAAUCACAAACCCUAAUCUAGAGUAUUUCUCUAAAAAAUGAAAACUUUUCAGAAAUAGCAGCUUUUAGGAAAAUUAUUUAAAAAUACAGCUUAUUGAUGAAAAACUUAGAAAAAAUACUCAUCUAUCCACAAAUAUUCUUGUUAUCCUAAUAUUUAAAUCACAAACUCUAAUCUACAGUAUUUCUCUAAAAAUGAAAACAUUUCAAAAAUAGCAAUUUUUAAGAAAAUUAUUUAAAAAUACAACAUAUUGAUGAAAAACUCAGAAAAAAUACUCAUCUAUCCACAAAUAUUCUUGUUAUCCUAAUUUUUAAAUCACAAACCCUAAUCUAGAGUAUUUCUCUAAAAAAUGAAAACUUUUCAAAAAUAGCAGCUUUUGAGAAAUUAUUUAAAAGUACAACCAAUUGAUGAAAAACUCAGAAAAAAUACUCAUCUAUCCACAAAUAUUCUUGUUAUCCUAAUUUCUAAAUCACAAACCCUAAUCUAUAGUAUUUCUCUAAAAAAUGAAAACUUUCCAAAAAUAGCAGUUUUUUAGAAAAUUAUUUUAAAUACUGUAGAACUGAUGAAAAAUUCUUAAAGUAUACUAAUCUAUCCACAAAUAUUCUUGUUAUCCUAAUUUCUAAAUCACAAACCCUAAUCUAUAGUAUUUCUCUAAAAAAUGAAAACUUUCCAAAAAUAGCAGUUUUUUAGAAAAUUAUUUUAAAUACUGUAGAACUGAUGAAAAAUUCUUAAAGUAUACUAAUCUAUCCACAAAUAUUCUUGUUAUCCUAAUUUCUAAAUCACAAACCCUAAUCUAUAGUAUUUCUCUAAAAAAUGAAAACUUUCCAAAAAUAGCAGUUUUUUAGAAAAUUAUUUUAAAUACUGUAGAACUGAUGAAAAAUUCUUAAAGUAUACUAAUCUAUCCACAAAUAUUCUUGUUAUCCUAAUUUCUAAAUCACAAACCCUAAUCUAUAGUAUUUCUCUAAAAAAUGAAAACUUUCCAAAAAUAGCAGUUUUUUAGAAAAUUAUUUUAAAUACUGUAGAACUGAUGAAAAAUUCUUAAAGUAUACUAAUCUAUCCACAAAUAUUCUUGUUAUCCUAAUUUCUAAAUCACAAACCCUAAUCUAUAGUAUUUCUCUAAAAAAUGAAAACUUUCCAAAAAUAGCAGUUUUUUAGAAAAUUAUUUUAAAUACUGUAGAACUGAUGAAAAAUUCUUAAAGUAUACUAAUCUAUCCACAAAUAUUCUUGUUAUCCUAAUUUCUAAAUCACAAACCCUAAUCUAUAGUAUUUCUCUAAAAAAUGAAAACUUUCCAAAAAUAGCAGUUUUUUAGAAAAUUAUUUUAAAUACUGUAGAACUGAUGAAAAAUUCUUAAAGUAUACUAAUCUAUCCACAAAUAUUCUUGUUAUCCUAAUUUCUAAAUCACAAACCCUAAUCUAUAGUAUUUCUCUAAAAAAUGAAAACUUUCCAAAAAUAGCAGUUUUUUAGAAAAUUAUUUUAAAUACUGUAGAACUGAUGAAAAAUUCUUAAAGUAUACUAAUCUAUCCACAAAUAUUCUUGUUAUCCUAAUUUCUAAAUCACAAACCCUAAUCUAUAGUAUUUCUCUAAAAAAUGAAAACUUUCCAAAAAUAGCAGUUUUUUAGAAAAUUAUUUUAAAUACUGUAGAACUGAUGAAAAAUUCUUAAAGUAUACUAAUCUAUCCACAAAUAUUCUUGUUAUCCUAAUUUCUAAAUCACAAACCCUAAUCUAUAGUAUUUCUCUAAAAAAUGAAAACUUUCCAAAAAUAGCAGUUUUUUAGAAAAUUAUUUUAAAUACUGUAGAACUGAUGAAAAAUUCUUAAAGUAUACUAAUCUAUCCACAAAUAUUCUUGUUAUCCUAAUUUCUAAAUCACAAACCCUAAUCUAUAGUAUUUCUCUAAAAAAUGAAAACUUUCCAAAAAUAGCAGUUUUUUAGAAAAUUAUUUUAAAUACUGUAGAACUGAUGAAAAAUUCUUAAAGUAUACUAAUCUAUCCACAAAUAUUCUUGUUAUCCUAAUUUCUAAAUCACAAACCCUAAUCUAUAGUAUUUCUCUAAAAAAUGAAAACUUUCCAAAAAUAGCAGUUUUUUAGAAAAUUAUUUUAAAUACUGUAGAACUGAUGAAAAAUUCUUAAAGUAUACUAAUCUAUCCACAAAUAUUCUUGUUAUCCUAAUUUCUAAAUCACAAACCCUAAUCUAUAGUAUUUCUCUAAAAAAUGAAAACUUUCCAAAAAUAGCAGUGUUUUAGAAAAUUAUUUAAAAAUACAACCUAUUGAUGAAAAACUCAGAAAAAAUACUCAUCUAUCCACAAAUAUUCUUGUUAUCCUAAUUUCUAAAUCACAAACCCUAAUCUACAGUAUUUUUCUAAAGAAUGAAACUUUUCAAAAAUAGCAACUUUUAAGAAAAUUAUUUAAAAAUACAACCUAUUGAUUGAAAAACUCAGAUAUUCUUGUUAUUUAAUAACAUUCAUCUAUGCACAAAUAUUUUUGGUUAUCCUAAUUUCUAAAUCAAAAACCCUAAUCUACAGUAUUUCUCUAAAAAAUGAAAACUUUCCAAAUAUAGCAGCUUUUAAGAAAAUUAUUUAAAAAUACAACCUAUUGAUGAAAAACUCAGAAAAAAUACUCAUCUAUCCACAAAUAUUCUUGCUAGUUUCAAAAUCACAAAACCUAAUCUACAAUAUUUCUCAAGAAAAUGAAAACUUUCCAAAAAUAGCAGUUUUUAAGAAAAUUAUUUAUAAAUACAACAUAUUCAUGAAAAAUUCUUAAAGAAUACUCAUAUAUCCAAAAAUAUUCUUGUUAUACUAGUUUCAAAAUCACAAAACCUAAUCUACAAUAUUUUUCAAGAAAAUGAAAACUUUCCAAAAAUAGCAGUUUUUAAGAAAAUUAUUUAUAAAUACAACAUAUUCAUGAAAAAUUCUUAAAGAAUACUCAUAUAUCCAAAAAUAUUCUUGUUAUACUAGUUUCAAAAUCACAAAACCUAAUCUACAAUAUUUUUCAAGAAAAUGAAAACUUUCCAAAAAUAGCAGUUUUUAAGAAAAUUAUUUAUAAAUACAACAUAUUCAUGAAAAAUUCUUAAAGAAUACUCAUAUAUCCAAAAAUAUUCUUGUUAUACUAGUUUCAAAAUCACAAAACCUAAUCUACAAUAUUUUUCAAGAAAAUGAAAACUUUCCAAAAAUAGCAGUUUUUAAGAAAAUUAUUUAAAAAUACAACCUAUUGAUGAAAAAAUCAGAAAGAAUACUCAUAUAUCCAAAAAUAUUCUUGUUAUCCUUAUUUCUAAAUCACAAACCCUAAUCUACAGUAUUUCUCUAAAAAAUGAAAACUUUCCAAAUAUAGCAGCUUUUAAGAAAAUUAUUUAAAAAUACAACCUAUUGAUGAAAAACUCACAAAAAAUACUCAUCUAUCCACAAAUAUUCUUGUUAUCCUAAUUUCUAAAUCACAAACCCUAAUUACAGUAUUUCUCUAAAAAAAUAAUAUAGCAGCUUUUAAGAAAAUUAUUUCAAUAUACAACCUAUUGAUUGAAAAAGUCAGAAAAAUACUCAUUUAUCCACAAAUUUUCUUGUUAUCCUAAUUUCUAAAUCACAAACCGUAAUCUACAGUAUUUUUCUAAAAAAUGUAAACUUUCCAAAAAUAGCAGUUUUUAAGAAAAUUAUUUAAAAAUGCAGCUUAUUGAUGAAAAACUUUAAAAAAAAUACUCAUCUAUGCACAAAUAUUCUUGUUAUCCUAAUUUCUAAAUCAAAAACACUAAUCUACAGUAUUUCUCUAAAAAAUGAAAACUUUCCAAAAAUAGCAAAUUUUUAGAAAAUUAUUUAAAAUACUGUAGAAUUGAUGAAAAAUUCUUUAAGUAUACUAAUCUAUCCAAAAAUAUUCUUGUUAUCCUAAUUUCCAAAUCACAAACCCUAAUCUAGAGUAUUUCUCUAAAAAAUGAAAACUUUUCAAAAAUAGCAGCUUUUAUAAUAAUUAUUUAAAAAUACAAACUACUGAUGAAAAACUCAGAAAAAAAUACUCAUCUAUCCACAAAUAUUCUUGUUAUCCUAAUGUUUAAAUCACAAACCCUAAUCUACAGUAUUUCUCUAAAAAAAUGAAAAAUUUCAAAAAAUAGAA